rnacentral:rRNA from 1 species
CCGCCGGCGACCGGCGCACGGGUGAGUAACACGUAUGCAACCUGGCCGUGACAGAUGGAUAACCGGGAGAAAUCCCGCCUAAUACAACAUAAUGCCGGGAGGGGACAUCCCCUGCCGGGCCAAAGGGGGCGACCCCGGUCACGGAUGGGCAUGCGGCGCAUUAGGUAGUUGGUGGGGCAACGGCCCACCAAGCCGACGAUGCGUAGGGGUUCUGAGAGGAAGGUCCCCCACAUUGGAACUGAGACACGGUCCAAACUCCUACGGAAGGCAGCAG